AGUGAACGCUGGCGGUAGGCCUAACACAUGCAAGUCGAACGGCAGCACAGUAAGAGCUUGCUCUUACGGGUGGCGAGUGGCGGACGGGUGAGGAAUACAUCGGAAUCUACUUUUUCGUGGGGGAUAACGUAGGGAAACUUACGCUAAUACCGCAUACGACCUACGGGUGAAAGCAGGGGAUCUUCGGACCUUGCGCGAUUGAAUGAGCCGAUGUCGGAUUAGCUAGUUGGCGGGGUAAAGGCCCACCAAGGCGACGAUCCGUAGCUGGUCUGAGAGGAUGAUCAGCCACACUGGAACUGAGACACGGUCCAGACUCCUACGGGAGGCCGCCGUGGGGAAUAUUGGACCAUGGGCGCAAGCCUGAUCCAGCCCUACCGCGUGGGUGAAGAAGGCCUUCGGGUUGUAAAGCCCUUUUGUUGGGAAAGAAAAGCAGCAGGUUAAUACCCCGCUGUUCUGACGGUACCCAAAGAAUAAGCACCGGCUAACUUCGUG
rnacentral:rRNA from 1 species